AGUAAUAUAUCGGAACGUGUCCAAUAAUGGGGGAUAACGAGUCGAAAGAUUCGCUAAUACCGCAUACGCCCUACGGGGGAAAGCAGGGGAUCGUAAGACCUUGCGUUAAUGGAGCGGCCGAUAUCUGAUUAGCUUGUUGGUGAGGUAAAGGCUCACCAAGGCGACGAUCAGUAGCUGGUUUGAGAGAACGACCAGCCACACUGGAACUGAGACACGGUCCAGACUCCUACGGGAGGCAGCAGUGGGGAAUUUUGGACAAUGGGGGCAACCCUGAUCCAGCCAUUCCGCGUGAGUGAAGAAGGCCUUCGGGUUGUAAAGCUCUUUCGCAAGGGAAGAAAACUUAUGAUCGAAUAAAUCAUGAGGUUGACGGUACCUUGAUAAGAAGCACCGGCUAACUACGUGCCAGCAGCCGCGGUAAUACGUAGGGUGCGAGCGUUAAUCGGAAUUACUGGGCGUAAAGCGUGCGCAGGCGGUUUUGUAAGUCGGAUGUGAAAUCCCCGGGCUCAACCUGGGAACUGCGUUCGAAACUGCAAGGCUAGAGUGUGUCAGAGGGGGGUAGAAUUCCACGUGUAGCAGUGAAAUGCGUAGAGAUGUGGAGGAA
rnacentral:rRNA from 1 species